CAGCAGGUUCAGAUCCCAAUUUAUACUCUCUCUAUAAAAAUCUAAAAUAAACCGCAUGUGCACACACCCUUAACCUGCGCACUGAAAAAAAUAAAACGCCCUCAGAAAAAUACGAGGAAGCUCUCGAAGGAACAGCAAUGGCAGUGAACAAUGACGAUGGAGAAGAAAGAAGAAAUCUUUAGCGACUUCAAUUUCGCUCCGUCAAAUCACGCUGUUAAUUCCAAUUCCACCAUGAUCAACGGCUCAGAUUUCACCAAUACCAAUGAUGCUGAUGCUGAUGAUGAUUGGGGAGAUUUCAAUUUUGUCAGCAGCAAUUCAAGUGGAUUCAGCCACACCUUAUCACUGCCCAAAAUCUCAACUACCCAUUUUGAAUUCUCUACCAAAAAUCAAAAUUCGGCCGAGUCACUGACUCAGCCUGGAUCGGCACCGAGUCGAGUUAAUAAUUCGGCUCAGUGGAAGAAGCCAAAUGGAGCUUUGCCUCUUUCGUUGUUUGGAGAAAUUGAAGAGGAGGAGGAGGAGGAGGAAGGAUCAGGUGCGGGCGAGCCUCCAAAAAAUGAAAGUGUUCAUUUUUCGAAAAAUAAAGAGGGGUCAGGAGGUGUUAAUGUGAUUGAUUUGAUAGCUAAUUUGUAUAAAGAGAAGGAGAGGAAUAAUGGGUUCGGAUCCGGCUUUAAUGGCUCGGAUAUGAAUUGGGAAAAUUUGAAUGGUAAUGGAUUGAAUGUCAAUGGUGUAAAUAAGGAUGAAAUGAAUUCCAAGGGGUUGGAUUUGGAUUUGAAGGAAAAUGGGUUGAAUUCAAAUAAAACCGAGUCGAAUUUGGUUAAAAAAGAUAAGAAUUUCAGUGGAAAUGGAGUGGAUUUGGGAUUGGUUAAUGGUAAUGAGCCAUUCGAUGUUAAUGGUGGUGGCGGUGGCGGUGAUGAUGAUGAUGAUGGGUGGGAAUUUAAAGGUGCAGACUCUAUAACCGAUUCGGAGGUUGAUAUUUCUAAGGCUAGUGAAAUGAAGGCUGAGAAUGGGUUGGUGUGUAAUGUUAAUGGAUUAAAUUCAAGAUGGAAUCCUUUAAGCUUGGAUUUGAAUGGAUGGACCUCGCAUGUCAAUAGAGAUGACUCAAGUUGGGAUUGGUUGAAUACGGGUACGGUUGAUGGAAAUACAGCACCUGGUAACAGUGAUGACUGGGAGUUCAAAGAAACAGGUUCCAGAAUGCAGGCUGAAGAUGAGAAAGAGAAGGGUGAGCAGAUGAAAGCUGAAAUCAAGCCAAUAUUGAGUUUUGAUGGAUCCAAUUCAACCUGGAAUUCUUUGAGUUUUGAUGGAUCCAAUUCAACCUGGAAUUCAUUGAGUUUGGAUGGACUCAAGAAUUCAAACUUAAAUGAAGUGAAUUCAGAUAGAAAACAGAUGAAUCUGAAUUCAUCUGAUGAAAAUGAGGAUUUUGAUGGCAAUGAUGAGUGGGAAUUCAAGGCAGCAGAAUCAGAAUCUGGGACUGGUGACAAGAAUACUAAGGGUGAUGAGAGAAAGGUGGAAAAUCCUGAGGGAACCACACAUGCACUUGGGUUUGGCAGUGGAGUGAUUGGUACUGGUGAUUUAUUUGGUGCAUCACAACAGACCUCCAAAAAAUCUACUGGACGGGACUUUGGGUUUGAUUUCAGCACCUCUUUGGCUCAAGACACUAAAAUGUUCCAUACACACACUAAAAAUGAGCAGAACGAUACCAAAAAAGUCCCUCAUUCCUCCCCAGAUGAUGGUGUUGAUUCUGAUGAGGAGUCUUGGGAAUUUAAAGAUGCAUUUUCGGAAACUAGAUCAAAGGAAAAGGAAGAGCCAAAGGUUGUUGAAGUUUCUGCUGCUGUGGAAGCAUUUCCAUUUGAUGGUGAAAUUAAGGGAAACAUGGCCAGGUCAAUCAGUCAUAAAGGAGCCCUGCCCUUGUCCAUUUUUGGUGAUGAAGAACAGGAUUCCAAUGAUCCUGUGAGUUAUCAAGACAUUUCACCUCAGCUGUCCAGUUCGAAGCCAAUAGAUGGCGUUAAGAGUCCUCAUUUAAACAUUUCUAUCAACGAUCUUAUAUCAAGUUUAUACAGUCAAGCUGAGCAUGAUACUGGUCAAAAUCCCAGUGGAAGUGGAUUGAGCCCUGCCAAUGUUGUAAUAGAGUCUAAUUUAGCAGGCGAUAGUGAUGAUUUUGAUGACGAUUCCUGGGAAUUUAAAGAUGCCUCUUCAGGGAUCAGAGCUGAAGAUCAGGCCUCUUUUAUUGGUCUUGGAGAGCCUAAUACAAAAUAUUCCACCAAAAUAGAGCUAAAUGAUUAUGUUGAUUUUUUUUGCAAAUUGAAGGAAGAAUUACACUUUCUUGCCCUGUGUCAUCUUGAUAAUCUAAAGAAAGCUCAAAGUGCUGCUAGUGAAGAUGCUGAAGUGAAAGCCCUUGUAAAGGAAAUACAGAAUCUUCAUGAUGAACUGCAGCAAGAUGGUUUGUUUUCUGGUGAAGUUGACACAGGGAAUCACUCCCCAAGAAAAUUGUGCCUCAAUGCAUUUGUUGAGGUUUUGCAAGAACCAAAGUUCCAAGUGUUUGAAUCAGAAUAUCAGUUAACAAGUAAAUUGUCAUUAGUUGAGAAUGAUUUGGGAUUGACCAUGGAACUCCUCAAACAUGUGACAUCAACAAUAAAGAUUUUGAUGUUGGUAUCAAGGAAGGAGCAAUCUAGUUAUGUUUCCACUUGGUCUGAAAUCCUGUCUGUUUGUGCUCGAGAGCUGAAACAUGGUGCCUUAAUUUGGACGCAGUCAUUACAAAAAGAUGUCCAUGAUCAAAUAUUAUCUAAACCUCAAGGCAAGAACUAUAUUGUUGCCCUUGGAGAAAUAUAUAGAGUUGUUGAAGUUAUUGGGUCCUCGGCCAGACUUUAUAAGCCAUGGUUAUUAGUGAGCUCUACAAAUCCCAUGGGCUUGCUCACUCUUCUAAGUGAGUGUUUCACCAUAUGGUCAAGUUCUGGACUUGAAGAAGCUCUGCAAAGCAUUUCUGAUCCAGCUGGUCUUUAUUAUAAUGGAGGUCUCACUACAUUAAUUGAAUCGAUUAAGCAUAUUCACGAUCUUGAUACUCGUACGCUAUAUAACCAUGUUUUCUGUGGACAAGGUCCUAUCUGUCAACUGUCAGUUUUAACUGCAGGAAUAGUGCCAGGGAUGAAAACAGUGGUGUGGAAUGGGGAGCACUACUUUCUCACGCUUGCUAAUUUGUGGGCAAACUUAGUAAGCUGCAACCCUCCAAAUUUGCCACACAUACAUGUUGGAUGAUGAGGUUGGAAGGAUGAGUUGAAAAUGUUCACUAGCAGCUUUUUGGGUGGGAAUGUAGUUGUCUAAUUGAGUCCAAUUAUUUUGUUCAUGAUGAGGCUUCUAGGGCAUAAGCCACAGUUGCACUGUCACAAGGAUACCACUCGGGGAAUAAAAGAUCCAAACGGUGCCUCCUUGAAACUCGAUCUGAUAUUCAGGUCGGCUCUCUACAUCCAAACUGGUGCAUUCAAGAGAAAUCACCUUGUGGCUACAAGCACGUUGAAAAUCUUGGUCGGCAAGUUUCCAUGCAUAGAAAAUGAGCACCUAGGGAUCUAUGUUAUAGAUUGAUUAAAUUCAACCUAGAGAGGCUGUUUAGAUGUAACGUCAAAAGGUAAUGGUCCGCGACGAGUAGAUUUAUUUCUCAAUCAAGAUUUUAAUUAUUAGUUGGAAAGUAGUCUCCUGCAUUAUUAUUGUGUUUUAGGAGUCAAGGAUGGGAGAUAAGUACAUUUGACUACGUGUGUAGCAUAGUGCUUGUUUUACUAAUAAUUAAAAAUCCUUGCUUCCCCUCAAUCAAGCGUAAUCCAAGGGUCCACAAUCACGUUGAUAGGGCUCAUGCAA